rnacentral:rRNA from 1 species
UGCGUAGGCGGCCUGAUAAGUCAGAGGUGAAAGCCCACAGCUCAACUGUGGAACUGCCUUUGAUACUGUUGGGCUUGAAUUAGGUUGAGGUUAGCGGAAUGUGGCAUGUAGCGGUGAAAUGCAUAGAUAUGCCAUAGAACACCAAUUGCGAAGGCAGCUGGCUAGACCUUAAUUGACGCUGAGGCACGAAAGCGUGGGGAGCGAACAGGAUUAGAUACCCGAGUAGUCC